rnacentral:rRNA from 1 species
UACCUUUACUGUUGCUUCGGCGGACGAUGGUCCCCCCCGGGGGGCCGGACGCCGCCGGAGGUUACAAACCCUGAAUUUUAGUGUAUCUCUGAGUACAAAACCAAAUAAUUAAAACUUUCAACAACGGAUCUCUUGGUUCUGGCAUCGAUGAAGAACGCAGCGAAAUGCGAUAAGUAAUGUGAAUUGCAGAAUUCAGUGAAUCAUCGAAUCUUUGAACGCACAUUGCGCCCGCCGGUAUUCCGGCGGGCAUGCCUGUCCGAGCGUCAUUUCACCACUCAAGCCCAGCUUGGUGUUGGGGCACCCGGCCGCCCGGCGGUCGGGGCCCCCAAGAACAUCGGCGGUCUCGCUAGGACCCUGAACGCAGUAACUCGCGGUAAAACGCGCUUCGUUCGGUGGCUUCCCGGCGGGCUCCAGCCGCUAAACCCCCUAAACUUUUUAGGUUGACCUCGGAUCAGGUAGGAAUACCCGCUGAACUUAAGCAUAUCAAUAAGCGGAGGAAAAGAAACCAACAGGGAUUGCCCUAGUAACGGCGAGUGAAGCGGCAACAGCUCAAAUUUGAAAUCUGGCCCCAGGCCCGAGUUGUAAUUUGCAGAGGAUGCUUUUGGCAAA